rnacentral:rRNA from 1 species
CCUACGGGGCGCUGCAGUGAGGAAUAUUGGUCAAUGGACGAGAGUCUGAACCAGCCAAGUAGCGUGAAGGAUGACUGCCCUAUGGGUUGUAAACUUCUUUUAUAUGGGAAUAAAAUGUUCCACGUGUGGGAUUUUGUAUGUACCAUAUGAAUAAGGAUCGGCUAACUCCGUGCCAGCAGCCGCGGUAAUACGGAGGAUCCGAGCGUUAUCCGGAUUUAUUGGGUUUAAAGGGAGCGUAGGUGGAUUGUUAAGUCAGUUGGGAAAGUUUGCGGCUCAAACGUAAAAUUGCAGUUGAAACUGGCAGUCUUGAGUACAGUAGAGGUGGGCGGAAUGCGUGGUGUAGCGGUGAAAUGCUUAGAUAUCACGAAGAACUCCGAUUGCGAAGGCAGCUCACUGGAUUGCAACUGACACUGAGGCUCGAAAGUGUGGGUAUCAAACAGGAUUAGAUACCCCGGUAGUC